rnacentral:rRNA from 1 species
AGAUACCCCACUAUGCCUAGCCGUAAAAAAUUUAUUUACACCAACAAGCGCCAGGGAAUUACGAGCAUAUGCUUAAAAUCCAAAGGAUUUGACGGUGUCCCACCCACCUAGAGGAGCCUGUUCUAUAAUCGAUAAUCCUCGAUAUACCCAACCAUUUCUUGCUUUUCAGCCUGUAUACCUCCGUCGCAAGCUUACCAUUUGAAUGUAAAAGAGUAGGUUUAAGGAUUCCCCAUCAAUACGUCAGGUCAAGGUGCAGCCAAUGUAAUGGAAAGUAAUGGGCUACAAUUUCUAUAAUAGAACAAACGAAACACUGCAUGAAAAACAGUCAUGAAGGCGGAUUUAGUAGUAAAAGGAGAAUAGAGAGCUCCUUUUAACAAGGCCCUGGGACGUGUACACACCGCCCGU